GAUGGUUGAUCGAGAGAUUUGAAGCAGAAAGAAUAUGUUAAUUGAUUUGCACCUCAACUAUUUAAAUACAAAAGUUCAAGCUAAAAAUAGAAAAAAAAAGUUCUAAAAAUCUGCUAAAAAUCUGGUAACAAAAUAGCAAACAAAUAAAAAAUCUAAUCUCCUAAAGUCAAGGAGAAUUAUUCAAACUUAGUAACAGAAAAAAUUAAAUGGCAGCAAUCUUAAACAUAUAAUCUUAAACAUAUAGCCUUCAUAGCUUGUAAUAGCUACUGUGCCUUUUCCCUUGACUUCCAAGUACU
rnacentral:lncRNA from 1 species